AAAAAGACAUAUAUAAAUAUAAGUCCACUACUUCCAGACAAUAACCCAAAAUUUGCUCACGGCACCACAAUUGCACGCUCGUUAGCCAGGUAAACUGACCCAGAUCAUUCUCUGGGGCACCUUCUUAUAGGCCAAGCCCCGCCCCUUUUGGGUAAGACCAACAUUAUCACCAGAGGUUAGUAAACAGGUAAGUAUGUACAUUUAAACCACACAACACCAUUAUAUAUAUAAACAUAUAAUCAACGAAAUAUUUCGAGAAACCAAAAUAUGAUCAAAAUAACAAAUAAUAAAGAUAAACAAAAAUGAUAAACACAGAGUAAUAAUAUUUAAUUUAAUUAUUCCCCCUGUAACAAACAAGACAAUGGACGAGCCAGCUUCCGGCUGCUUCACGCCGACACGCCCACUCACAGCGGACCCGGCGCUAUUUAUCCAGGCCGCUGGUGGCGCUCGGGUUCGACCGGCCGAUGAUGGAGAAGAAACGCGGAAGACCAGCAACACAGACGCCGACAAACACUUAUAACAGAACUCUUUAUGGAGUGAACUCAGAGUCAGCAGAACCUGAAGCCGAAUGUGCAAAAAGUAAUGUGUAAAUAGAGUUCCUGAUGAAGAGGACAGAUGAGUGCCGCCAUGGAUGAGAACCACAAAGCUGCUGUUUUACUUUAUAAAGAAAUGAAAUGUUACCAUUUUUAGUGAACUGUUGUAGACUUUUUGUAAUUUGUCAGUUCUAUAAUUUGUUUUGUCAGAUUCAUUAACACCUUAAAGUCAUAAAGGCCAAAUCGAACAUGUUUCUUCGGUACUGACAAUAAACAGUGUUGUCUGAGA